GGGGAUAUAACUCAGUUGGUAGAGUGCUUGCCUUGCAUGCAUGAGGCCCUGGGUUCAAUCCCCAGCACCACA
rnacentral:tRNA from 1 species